rnacentral:rRNA from 2 species
UGAGAUUUAAAGAGCCGCAGUAUCCUGACUGUGCUAAGGUAGCAUAAUCAUUAGUCUUUUAAUUGGAGACUGGUAUGAAUGGUUAAACGAGAAAUCAACUUUUUUUGUUGUAAAGCUUGAAUUUAACUUUUUAGUGAAAAGGCUAAAAUUUUUCAAAAAGACGAGAAGACCCUAUAGAGUUUUAUAAUCAAGGGAAUAUUUCUUUCUUAGAUUUUUAUGAGAGGUAUUUACUGUAGUUAUUUUGUUGGGGCGACAUUUAGAUAUAAAAAACUCUUUAUUUUUAAAACUUUUAUGAAAGGUAAAUUGAUCCUUUAAAAAAGAUCAUAAGAAAAAAUUACCUUAGGGAUAACAGCGUAAUCUUUUUUGAGAGUUCUAAUCGACAAAAAGGUUUGCGACCUCGAUGUUGGACUAAAAUUAAGGCAGGGUGCAGCAGUUCUGCUAUAAGGUCUGUUCGACCUAUAAUUUUUUACACGAUCUGAGUUCAGACCGGCGUAAGCCAGGUUG